GCUUUAUUUUGUAUAUUUGUGUUAUGUAAAUGCUUGUUGUUAUUUAUUAUCUACCCCGGAAAGAGUGUCAGACCAGGAGUUUGACAGGGGCGAUAGAUCUGUGUAAAUUCAACGCAGGUGCCCUAAAGAGAGCUCAGUGAGGCCAGAAGCCUCACGAAGAAUAAAAGGACAAAAGCUCCCUUGAUUUUGCUUUUCUGUACGAAUGCGGUGAAAGCGAGGCCUAUAUAGAGUCACAGAUGACGAUGACGACAGAA
rnacentral:ncRNA from 1 species